UGUCACGCCAGUGGCAUCGCCGGGUAGCUAUGUUCGGAAGAGAUAACCGCUGAAAGCAUCUAAGCGGGAAACUCGCCUUAAGAUGAGAUAUCCCUGGGGACUAGAUCCCCUUGAAGGGUCGUUCGAGACCAGGACGUUGAUAGGUCAGGUGUGUAAGCGCAGUAAUGCGUUCAGCUAACUGAUACUAAUUGCCCGUAAGGCUUGAUCCUAUAACA
rnacentral:rRNA from 1 species